GAAGCCAGUACUCUCACUUAGCAGCUACCUCAUUUCUGGGCCGAGAUGUUUCAUUUCAUCAGACGGAUUUCUCCACAGCUGAACAAGCACAAACAACAUGGUCAGAAGAAGAAAAGGCUCAUUACAAUCACAAUAUAUGCCAUGCAUAAACCCUAAUUUACAACUGCGGGGGAACACUGCAUUCUGGAUUACCUGUCAGUUGUAGACAGCAGCUAUCACUUCAGAGUUACAACAAAGGAGAAAUGGAAGGCUUCUCUGCUCCCAGGAUGAUCUACCAUACAGACACAGAAUACUACCUGUGACCAGUAGACUCUUCUGAGUACUGUCUUAGGUGUUAGAGAUUUUAAUUUGAAGUGGGGUUCACGAUAGCAUUUUUAAGAAGCUAAAUCCAGGGUGCUUACUGGGACUAGCCUGGGUGCUUCCUGCUUGCACUGGUUGGGUCCAGAUGUGAGCAUUCUGCUCAGUUUGAUCCUGGUUGGCACAUGGAGAGAGUUAUGGAUCUCUGGGGCCCAGAGGAAAUGGCUGGACAGAGAACUUCCCGGGACUGCUGCAUCGGCUGUAGACAUUCAGCUAACUGUGCAUUUUCUGGGAUUCAGAAGGGCCAUCUGCUACCCACACAGUCAAGAGGAAAGCCACACAAAAAAAGAAGGAAAAAAUGGUCUCAUGGUACAGUUAAAACCAGAGAGGGAUACCUGGGGGACAGAAUGCAGCGGUGCUCCCCUGCACCUGCUCUCUGCCCAAGGGACAGACUGAGGAGUGGCUGCUGUCCUGUGCUGCACUGGGCUGCAAACCACGCAGCAGGUAAAAA